rnacentral:rRNA from 1 species
GAUGAACGCUGGCGGCGUGCCUAAUACAUGCAAGUCGAGCGAAUGGAUUAAGAGCUUGCUCUUAUGAAGUUAGCGGCGGACGGGUGAGUAACACGUGGGUAACCUGCCCAUAAGACUGGGAUAACUCCGGGAAACCGGGGCUAAUACCGGAUAACAUUUUGAACCGCAUGGUUCGAAAUUGAAAGGCGGCUUCGGCUGUCACUUAUGGAUGGACCCGCGUCGCAUUAGCUAGUUGGUGAGGUAACGGCUCACCAGGGCAACGAUGCGUAGCCCACCUGAGAGGGUGAUCGGCCACACUGGGACUGAGACACGGCCCAGACUCCUACGGGAGGCAGCAGUAGGGAAUCUUCCGCAAUGGACGAAAGUCUGACGGAGCAACGCCGCGUGAGUGAUGAAGGCUUUCGGGUCGUAAAACUCUGUUGUUAGGGAAGAACAAGUGCUAGUUGAAUAAGCUGACACCUUGACGGUACCUAACCAGAAAGCCACGGCUAACUACGUGCCAGCCGCCGCUGUAA